UACGUAGGGAGCAAGCGUUGUUCGGAUUUACUGGGCGUAAAGGGCGCGUAGGCGGCGCGGUAAGUCACUUGUGAAAUCUCUGAGCUUAACUCAGAACGGCCAAGUGAUACUGCAGUGCUAGAGUGCAGAAAGGGCAAUCGGAAUUCUUGGUGUAGCGGUGAAAUGCGUAGAUAUCAAGAGGAACACCUGAGGCGAAGGCGGGUUGCUAGGCUGGCAAUGGCGCUGAGUGCGCGAAAGCCAGGGGAGCAAACAGG
rnacentral:rRNA from 1 species